GACUCUGUGGUGCAAUGGACAGCACAUUGGACUUCUAGUUGGAAACUUGAUGAAGUAAUCCAAAGGUUGUGGGUUCAAGUCCCACCAGAGUCA
rfam:Scleropages formosus scaffold22755, whole genome shotgun sequence.